rnacentral:lncRNA from 1 species
GGAUGGGCUCCUUUGCUCUCUAAGGAUUAGUAGGAAUUCAUAAAAAGGCACACUCUUGGCAGAAAAAGUUCAAAGGCAGUGGGGAAUUCUGUUCUGUAUGGCUAGAGAGAGAAGGAAAUGGAUUGGAAGGGCAGGGGAUGAAGUUGGACAGGAAAGUAGAAUCCAGAGAUUAACAGGAUCAGGUUUGCAUUUUAGAUGACUGGUAGCAGGAUGUAGGAUGGAAUGGAGCAUUGUGACAAGGCAAGGGGACUAAUGAGUCGAUUGCAAUAAUAAAAGCUUGAAUAGGGCAGUGGCAGUGGAGACAGAGGAGUGGACGUGUUUGAGGGAUUUAAGAGGUGGAAUUGAAACCCUUGGUGAGUCUUUGGAUGUGGGAAAUGAGAGAUGGGAAUCAUCUUAAAAGACAGUUUUCUCACUAGGGUGCCUGGGUGGUUGAUGAUGUCAUUAACCAAAAACAGGAGCAAGUGUAGGAGUGAAGAUCAGUUUAAUUUGGGACACACUGAGUUUGAGAUGCCUGGGGGGACAUUCAGGAGGCUGAGGACAAAAUGCUGUGGAAUAGUCAGAAAAAGAAAAGCCUGAGACAGAGACUGAACCGGCACAUUCAGAAGUAGAAGUAGGAGGCCAAGGUGAG